rnacentral:misc_RNA from 1 species
GUAGGUGAACCUGCGGAAGGAUCAUUACAGAGUUCAUGCCCUUACGGGUAGAUCUCCCACCCUUUGAGUACUAUACUUUUGUUGCUUUGGCAGGCCGCUUCGGCUACCGGCUUCGGCUGGUGAGUGCCUACCAGAGAACCACAACUCUGUACUAAAUGUCGUCUGAGUACUAUAAAAUAGUUAAAACUUUCAACAACGGAUCUCUUGGUUCUG